rnacentral:lncRNA from 1 species
CCACAUCAUUAUAUUACUGAAUUUAGUCUGAGUGCAUUUGGACCUUCGCUCUUUUUCAAAAAGCUGAUUUUGCAACUUCUCUAAUACAAACACUCAUUGGAAACGAUCAUGAUCCCAUGCCCUGGCUGGGAAAUAAAGGAAAACAGUUUUGGAAGUGUUUUUCAGCCAACUUUUCAUAGAUUAUUUUGGCUAUAUUCCAAUUGUGUCAUUCAUUCAGCCAACCAUUCAAGGAAUAUUUGGCAAUGUUCCAAUUGUGUUAGUCAAAUUCCUAUAUGAAUUAAUUAGGUUGGACACACGAAAAUUAGAAACAUUAUCAAUUUCUAUCCCACAACUUACCAACAAAAUCCAGCAGCGAGUACUUGAAUAUGGUAGAUCUUCCUAAAGUUGGAUUUUUCACCAAUUGAAUUUGGAAGGAAGGCGGUAACACCCGGAUAAAGAGGUUCUGUUCGUUCUAAUUGGGUCAGUUAAUUAUGCGAUGCGGUGAACAUGUUCAGCCUCGUGAUGUUGGUGGGAUGGGCGCUGGGCACUGGGCACUGGGCACUGGGCGUCAUCAAAAAAUAGCUUUAAAGUUCUUGAAAAUUAGGGAUAUUUAUAAUUAACUACUAUCAUAAAUAGAGCAUAGAGGAGUCAUCAAAAAGUAGCUUUAAAGUUCUUGAAAAUUAGGGAUAUUUAUAAUUAACUACUAUCAUAAAUAGAGCAUAGAGUUGAUAGGGAUGACUCACCUUUUAAACACCGACUGACCUCCAUCAUUGAUGAAACAUUUUUUUUAAUUAAUUAGCAAUAAUAUUGCAAUUAGUAGCCGUGUUACUCACAAGUAGCAUACUAAUAAUUCUAUUUUCUCAUUUAUUUAAUUAUUUUUUAUUAAUUUUGAAAAUUAAUCAUAAAAGUAUAUACAUUAGUAGUCCAUGGUGUGAGUUCUAAUGCAAGAACAAAUAUUAGAAUUGCUUGACAAAGAACAAAGGCAGCAGUGAAAUGAGGAAUGGGAAGUAGGAAAAUUUUGGCAGAAGCUACCUUAUAUAUGUGUUGGUUCAGGAAAGUAUUAAAGAAAUAAAAAAUGUUCAAAAAAAAAAAAAAAGUAAUUUCGUGUGUGAUUUUAUUGUAAAGAAUAUAAUAUAAUUAAAACUAGUUAAAAUUUUAUGUAUUUUUAGAUUAUUUGGUUUUUAUAUAAGAAAUUUAAAAUAAAUGAAAUAAAUUUGAAAUAGUGUAUAUAAAAAAGAAUAAUUAUAAUAAAAGGAUAGAUAAACUUAAUAAUGCACAGCAUAAUUGUUGAUAAAGGUAUGAAAUGUGGUAAACCAAAAUGCCUGGUCCAUCCAUACUUUCUUUUUGGCAUCCAUCCCCCUAUCAUCUUUAUCAAUGAAACACAAUCUCUUGCUUUAAUCCUUUCAUAAUCCAAACCUCCAUUAUCUUCAACUCUUGUAAGCUCGAUCACAACUCUACACCAUCUUAGCCCACCUUAGUCUCCCAUUUUUAGUUGUUCUUUGAAUUCGUUCCACAAUAUUCAUAGAAAACCCACAAAGCUCCUAUUUUUGCCCUUCAUUUUACAACUUUUCUUUCUAUAAUUUUUCUUUCACGGGAAAAUAAAGGAAAAAGAAAACGAAAAAACAUAUACACGGUUUUCCUUCAAUAAAUAUAAAAAUAGAAAAAAAUAAUAAAGUUAAUUUUUAUUUGAUUUGUAUAUAUUUAAAAAAUAAAUAGAAAAAUUUUAAAUUUAUAAUUUGAUUUUAAGAUAAAAUUUGAAAACAGAAAACAAUAAAAUAAUUUGAUAAAGUCACGUUAAAAAGGUAAUGAUUUAAAAAAUUAUUUAGAAGAAAAAGGUAGUAAAUUUUUUAUUAUUAUCUCACAUUUAAAAAAUUUUUAAAGUAAUUUUUAAGGAUAUAAAACGAGCUUAUAUUUUUCAUAUAUAAGAAUUUUUAUUUUUAAAAUUGUAAAAAUUAUUGUUAUUUUUUAUUUUUAAAAAUAAAAAAACAAGAAAUGUAUUUUAUAGAAACUUGGGUAUUCAAAAAUUUUAAAAUGCAUAAUUUUAAAAUAAAAUUAUUUUAAAUUUUAAAGUAGUAAAGGAUAUUUCAAGAUUUUAGAGAUUUUGAAUUUUAAAAUUAUAACCAUAUUUAAAAGUUUUUCUUACAUCUAACUCUACCUAAAAAUUUGUUCUACUCCUUCAAAGUUAUGCACCUUCAACUACUCCUUUAUCAUAAUUAUCCUUAAAAAUAAUUUAUUUAUUUUUGUUUUAUUUUAUUUUUUUCGUUUGACUUUUUCUCUUUAUUUCCUUUAAAAUAUCUAGAAUCCAAAUACAUCCGAUUUUUUCUCAUUAACAAGGUUAAUUUCAUUUAUUCAAAUAAGAAUAAGUUUGAAUAUGAAGCACGAUCUGGUGGUGGAAAAAGCACUAGAAAGGAAAAAUUAAACGCGGUUCUCAAAAUCCAAGGAGAGAAGGAAAAAAAUUAGAAAAGUAAUAAACGAGAGUGGAACAGAGGGGAUUGGACUGAGGAUGGCCGGGCUUACCAGCGUAGUCACACGUAAUACGUUUAAUAACGGGGAGAGACUAGAGACAUUGGGUUGAGAGCGAGGGGGAAAGAGAAAGCGUGAGAUACAGAUCCACGUUCCACACCAAUACACACCGCUUCCCCGGAAUCCAGAUCUUCCCAAUUACAAACCCUACCCCCACUCCUCUGAACGAUAGGUUCAAAAGUAUUAAGCAAAAUAGAGUCGAGCCAAGCCUUCUCUAUCAAUCUGCCUCAUCUUCUUCGUCGUUUUUCUUCUUCCAAAUUAGUAAAUUGAAUUGCUCCAUCUCUGCACCGCUUGUCUCCUUGAGAUCUAGUAUUUCUAUUGCGCAUCCUCCCUUUUCUUUUCCAAGAGCAUGGAGAGCGACAAGAAAUCCUCCGUUUCCGAUGUGGGUGCCUGGGCCAUGAAUGUUAUCAGCUCCGUCGGAAUUAUCAUGGCUAACAAGCAGCUUAUGUCCGCCAGUGGUUACGCAUUCAGCUUCGGUUAGUCUCUCUGAUCUGGCUUUUGUAAAUUCUCUUACCCAAUCUAAUUGUAUCCCCACUACAAAUUACAGCUGCAUUCUUAGGUUUCCGCGGAUCUUUCGUAUUAUUUCCCUUCUGAGCUUUUUUCUUUUUUAAAAAAAAAUAAUAAUUAUUUACGUCCUUGUUUUAAAGUUCUUAAUUUUUUUUUAAUUAUCAUUUUUCCUAAAGAGGUGUUUGAUCUGAUGCUUUCUUCUUUCGAAUUUCAAUCUUACCUUCUCCUCUUUUCUUUUCAUAAUAUUUUUUUUUUCCUUUUUCCUUUUGUCUGUUGUAAGUUAUCUUUUCGGAUCUCUUGACCCUUACUCAAAUUCGUCACGGAGGAAGUUCCUUAUUGGGAUAACGGGAAGAUCCAUCACUUCCCAACUGCUCGCCAAGUUAGGAACUGACUGAAUACUGGGAAAAAAUUCCGGCCAGCUAAACAUAAGAAUUAUAGAAAUGACCUGGAAAUUUUGAACCUGUUCUCUUUUGAGGAUCAGUAUGAUUUAUUCAUUCACCUGAUUUCUAAUUCCUGACCCAAAUGUUCAACUCUAAACUUAUUAUCCUGUAUUCUUUUUCAGCCACCACUUUAACUGGGUUUCAUUUUGCGGUUACUGCACUGGUUGGUCUGGUGUCAAAUGCUACUGGCUAUUCUGCAUCAAAGUAUGUUCCUUUGUGGGAGCUUCUCUGGUUCUCAAUUGUAGCCAAUAUGUCUAUCACAGGGAUGAACUUGAGCCUCAUGCUAAACUCAGUUGGAUUCUAUCAAGUAAGAAUUACUAAAACGCUUCAUUGGUACGUACUUAUGUAAUUUUUUUUAACGGUAAAUUUGAGUACCUUUAUAAACGGGUAUGAUAUUAACUAAUUUUGGGGGCUUCCCUCGGGCAAGGUAAGGUAUGCCAGUCCAAGUGGACACCAUUCUAAUGUGCCUGAGUUGUAUUUAUCUAGUUUUUCAUCUAAGAUGUUAAUUUAGUUUUUCUUUCAACGCUUUUGGAAGCUUGUUCAUUUGUUAGAAUUGUGAUCUUUGUUAGAGCAUUCAUACUCCUUUAUAUUUUUGUGGUCAUUCCCCUAGUUUUAUUCCAUGUUUGCAUUUACCAAGGAUGCUUCAUUUGCUUUUAAGAAAACCAAAUCUUCACCUGAAAUGAGUCUUAUGUUUACCUCUGAUGUUCCUACGAGAGUGAGAACUGCCUGAACUUGCUCUGUUAUAGUGUACACUGUUUAUUCCCAAGUUAGUGGAGACUAAGGGAAUAUACUCCUUUGGAUGUUGUGCUUUUAGAAUUUUUUUUGUUAGGACUUGGGAGCAUGCCAUUGGGAUUUGAUUUGUACUUGAUUUUGCACUAUACAUGGUUGCAAUCCAUAGCUCAAGGACAGAUGAUAAAUAUAGAUAUUUCAUUUCGAAAAGAAGCUGUUUUUAGCAACUUGAAGGUCGAAUCUCUUUUUCAGAUUCUGCAACCAUAUAUCUCGUUCAUGUACAUUUUGAGGGCUUGCAUUAACUUUGAAACCCUUUUAACUGCACUACUAUGUGCUUUUAUCAUAUGCCAAAAGCAAAGUUUGCUUUAGGAGAGACCUUGCAUUGGAAAGAACCUAGUCCUUUUCUGGCACCUUAGGGUAUGGCUUUAUUUUAUUCAAGUUAGCUUCUUUGUUUUGGUGGCUUGCUUAGUCUUGGUUAGUAAUUUGGUGCUGCUGCAACCAAUAUUUUUUCUUGCAUUUAAAUCAUCUUGAGAUGCUACUCACUCUUGUAUUCUACUAGAAUUUUCUUUUGUCUGGGUGCUCUGAUCUUUUUUGAUCAUGGAUUACCAUCUGCUAUAUAAGAGAGAUUUUAUUUCUCCAUUUUCUUGGAGGUCAAGACUUCUAAUGAAGAUGCCAAAUUAUUAGCCAAAAGGGAGCAAUGAUCUGUGGACUUUUAAUUUUUCUCCUUUUUUUCCCCUAGUCUCUCUAUAAAUUUCAGUUUUUUUUAUCCAAACAGAAAUAAAUCAAGGGUAGAGUAUGAUAUAUGUCUUUCCACCAAAGGAAAAUUGAGGUUUCUUCCUGGGUUUGGGUUUGGAAUCAGCAUGGUUGGUUUCAAGAAGGAAAGUUUCAGAAACACCCCACUGAUUGUUGUACUAGUUGAACACAUUGGUGCAAUUCUAGAUGGAUGAUACUGCAUUUAUGUUUCUGAAACACUAACUUUGCUGUUAUUUGCUUGCUAAAGAUUAUUGCUUUUCUUGGCGAGGGGUGGUAUUGCUGGUGGUGUGUGGUUGUUGAGGUGACUGAAGCAAACCGAGCAUCAAUUUGUUUAAGAACAGAGACAUGUGAUCAGUUUAAACAACUGAUUUUUUAAGGUUUUCAAGGAUGAAGACCUUGUUAUUAGUGGCAAUUCAUGUGACUUUAGUUUCACUAGUUAUACGCAUUCCCUAUUUUAGACUAAAAUUCUUGAUGCAGUGGAUGGUGAUUUGGACAGGUUCUUUGUUUUUUUUGUUUUUUUGUUUUUUUUUUCUCUUAAAUAAUUUCUUGUACGGUACAAAAGUGAAGUCUGUUUCAGAAGCAGCACUUAAUGUAAUUUGUUCAAAGAAGUGCAAGAAUUUGAUGCUAACUCUCCAUGUAAAACUUGCCUUGUUCUAUCUGUGGUGCAGAUUUCAAAACUGAGCAUGAUUCCAGUGGUAUGUGUGAUGGAAUGGAUCCUUCAUAACAAACACUACUCUAGGGAAGUGAAGAUUUCUGUGGUGGUUGUGGUUAUAGGAGUGGGUGUCUGCACUGUAACUGAUGUGAAAGUUAAUGCUAAAGGUUUCAUAUGUGCCUGUGUAGCAGUAGUGUCAACAUCUUUGCAGCAAAUUGUGAGUAUAUGCUAAUUUCCUCUUGUUUUGCAUUUAUUAUGUAAAUAGUCCUGUCAAGGCUGAUGAAUUGAUCGGUUUACAAAUUAUUUUUUCCCUGAAUUUUACAGUCCUGUUCUGCACUAUUUUAUGUUUGUCCAACAUUGGUUUUUCUUAGGCACAUUUUAGUAUUUUUCAUACAUUUUGGUAGCUAAAAAGUAAUGAAAUUGCUUCUUAGUGAAAAUAAGUUUUUGUUUUUCAAGGUUAAUGCUUUUCUGUUUCUUAUUGUCACUACAAUCAUUGGCUGCUUCAUAAUAGAUUUUCAUUGGCUUGUUUAGAUCCUGAGGAAGCAAUUGCCUCUUUUAACACCUAAAUAAGAAUUUUAUUAAAAUGACACCUAACAAUAAAGGGGAACAACCCUAGCACACAAGAAGUGCACAAGGCAUUUAAAGAUUUAAGGACAAAAAGAAGGUAAAAAGCAACAAACUCUUAGCUACCAUGUAGCAAGCUAUCUACUAAGUGGAGAAGGAAAGACUCUCAAUUCCAAUUCCUCCUUAAAUGCUACUAGACCACAAAAACAGAGCCUUGAGAAAGCUAUCCUUCAUAGCCCAUCUUGACCUUUCAUGCAUUUGAAGAAACUUCUAUUUCCUUCUCUCUAGGUAGACCAAAACAAAUAUAAUGGACCCCCUCACCAUCUUGCAAUUCUUGCCCAUAUUUAUGCCAUGCCAACUAAAUAACACAUCUUUAACUAACGAGGCAAGACCCAAGAAACCUUGAACAAGGAGAAGAUAGGAUGCCACAAGCGCAAUACCUAUUUGUAAUGAUGAAGAAUGCAUCCCUAACUUUUCAUUUUGCUUGUGAAGGCAACACCAAUUUACCAUACUUCAUCCUCUAAACAUCUAAUGUAGGACAACCCUAGGAUGGUUGGGUACAAUUAAAUAGGUGGGAUAGGGUUUUUAUUUUUUAGGGUUUAAGGAGAAGUAAAUGCGAAAAAGAAAAGAUAGAAACCUUAGAGUCUCACUAAAGCCUUUUAGGAGUCUCAUCUAGCAGAAAAUCAAUGGAGUCUCACCAUUGAGAAUUGCAACACUUGCAAAAAAAACUAAUAUUAUUUAAUCACCAACUAAUACUUUGGUUUACAUUAAUUAGCCUUAUUUAUAGACUUCUCAAAAAAUCCAAGUCUACUAGGAAUCUAACAAUCCAUUCUAACUCUUAAGUCUAAUGUCUUAUAACCUAAUUGCCUAAUCCUAAUUUGACUCUAACAAGUACUAAUUCUAAUUAAAUUCAAAGUAGUAAAAAUCCUUCUUUAAUCGCAACUAAUACUAAUUCUCUUUCUUGAUGUAUAUCUUGGAGUCCUCAUCACCAUCACUUGAUUAGUCAUUGGAAUUCCUCCCCCCCCCCCCUACCUCCCAUGUGGAAAAAAGCCACCUUUGAAGUUAUCUUUGAAACCUAAACCACAAGGUAGGCAUAGCCUUCAUCUUGUAGUAUGAUCUAACAGAGAAAGGGCCCCUUCUAAGAGCCUUCCAAACUUGCUUAUCCAGCAACUUCAAGCUCAACCACCUCCCACCACCACACAUGCACAAACAAAUCUGUUUUUCUUCCAUCAGUGUUUGUUCACUUUGAUAGCACAAAUAGAUUGGAUUUGAGGGGAAAGAACACACUUUUAAACAAAAGGAACAUCUUAUGCUUAAUGGAUUUUGCUGGUUCGUGAUGUUUGUGUGGAAAGAGUUUUAUUCAUGUCCUCUGACAAUGAGUGGAAAAUUUUCUGUGAUACAGUCAAUAGGUUCUUUGCAAAAGAAGUACUCAAUUGGAUCUUUCGAAUUGCUGAGUAAAACUGCUCCGAUUCAGUCCAUCUCCCUCCUUGUGCUUGGUCCAUUCAUCGAUUACUUCCUUAAUGGCAAAUUUAUUACAAACUAUAAGCUGUCUUCUGGUGUCAUUGUAAGAACUUAUCUUUCUAUGCAUAUAUUAUUUCUAAUGGAUUACUGAGCACAGCCACAUAUUAUCAGUCUGUAUAGAUAGAUUCCUGCUAACUUAAUCCAAUGGUGUGCAGUUUUUCAUACUCCUUUCAUGCUCCCUAGCAGUGUUCUGCAAUGUGAGCCAGUACCUCUGCAUAGGACGCUUCUCAGCAGUUUCCUUCCAGGUUUUAGGUCACAUGAAAACAGUUUGUGUUCUUACACUGGGGUGGCUGCUCUUUGAUUCAGAGCUGACUUUUAAGAAUAUUUCAGGAAUGAUUGUUGCAGUUGUUGGAAUGAUAAUUUAUAGCUGGGCUGUGGAGAUUGAAAAGCAGGCAAAUGCGAAGACAAUGUCCAAUGUUAAAAACAGCCUGACAGAAGAGGAAAUUAGACUUCUGAAGGAUGGGAUAGAGAAGACACCAGUAAAGGAUAUUGAACUUGGUGAAUCUAAAGAAUAGAUUGACACAUGGCAGGAAAAACAGGUACUUUGUGUGAGUUCACUUCAAUUUGGUUUGUUUUUUUGCCUCAUUUACGGCCGUAUCAAGACUUAAUCUGCUGACCGUUACACACCAUCACACAUUCAUCUUAGAAAUUGUCAUCAAUUUUAUAAAAAUUUCUUAGUUUCAUUUUAAAUUAUUCUUCUUUUUAUUUAUCUGUGUGUAUGGUGCACUGAUGAAGGCACAAUGGGUUAAUAUGUAAAAUCCGUUUUGUUCAAGCUGGUAGUCUAGCUACUUUAAUGUCUCUCGUAAGGUCAUGUACUAUGGAUGGUGGAGGAAGCAUUUUAUUUUGAUUCAGCUUAUGUAUAUUGCAAGAUUAGAGACGGGGUGAUGCUUGGCUUUUGCAUGGUUUUGAUGACAAUUUUCUAUGUAUAUUGCAUGGGUUAAGGGAGAAAAUGGGGCAUGAUAACAGUGCUAUGUAUUAUCUAGCCUUUUAAUCAUGAAUAUUAUUAAUAAAGAUGGGUUAUGGAGCAAUUUUCAAAUAAUACUAAAUAUGAUAUUUAAUACUUUUUUUUAAUAAUAAAUUUUAGAAUGUGAUAUAAUUUCUUUAGUAAACGAAUAUUAAACUAUUGAAGUAUUGUAGAAGUGGAAAUGAAGGAAUCUCUUCAUCCAGUCUCUUUGAUGGCGUACGUUAACCAUGCGCUUGGAAGGAUACUACAUUUCCUUUUCUGUACCCUGAAAAGCCCCUAAAACGGUAAUAGAAAUAUCAUAACUAGUUCAUUUUCCUUUUUGUAAAGACUGCAAGCAAAAGAGAAAAACCGAAAUAAGAAAGGGAAAUGGGAUGGGACCAAUCCAGUUCAUACCAUACUGUUCAAAUCUUCAAACGUAUUGAAGAGAAAAGGGGGAAAAUAAAUUUUAAAUUAAUAAUAUAUAUAUUCUUCUAUUACAUAAAAAUUAAAAUAUAUAAGUUUAUAACUAAUUCUAAUCAUAUGUUAUUUUCUUUCUUAUUUAAGAAUAUGUAUAAGUUUUUUAUUUUCUUGUUAAAUUAAAAUUAAUAUUUUUUUCCCUUUUAAGGAUCAAAAUAGUAUAAAUAAAAUUAUUAAUACAUAAGAUUAUCAUAUAAAGAGAAAUCAGAUCGAGUCAAAAUUAGAAGGGAAUGGACCUAUUAGUAGUUACAAGUAAGGGGGCCAUCACACACAUGGGAUGAGUUUUAUGAUUAAUGCAUUAAAAGGGAAUGGGCCUAUUAUAAGUUACAAAUAAGGGAACUAUCAUGAGUUUUAUGAUUAAUGCAUACUUCUGGGUCUUCUUGGCCAAACCCUCAAUGGAAGGAGUUUUCUACACGAGGAAAAACAUGACUAUUUAAAAGGCAAACAGCCAACGGCCCUGUUUGCUGGAACGCAUUGGACAUAUUCCAAGGCAAAUAAAUCAUAAAUCAACUACCAUCUAUGGCCGGUUAUAACCCUUCAAAGGAUUCAACCCAAAAUGGGAUGCGUAAGCUGAUUUAUGCACAUGAGUGAGUUGACUCUUUCAAAGAAUUUGAAAUUUGAUUUGUUUUUUUUCCGUAAGCAUGCAUCCAUCCAUAUAUAUAUAUAUAUAUAUGAUAACUUUUCUUUUUCUCAAAUUCUCAAUUGUGAUAGGCACGGAUUUCCCCUCAAAUUUUUCGCAUUUGUGUGGCGCUUAAAUGCCCUUUAAGCUAACCUAAAGAAAGCCAUAUGAGAUUGUAACAAAGAAAGACUCAUAAAAUACAUGAGGUUUACGAGGUUCAAUCCCCUAACUUGUAUUUAUUUACUCUCUAUAAAAAAAAUACAAGACAUGACUCUCAACAUAACUACCACAAUAUGCUUGGUGUGUUCAAUGCUUUUCAAAAGGCACUCCAACCCUCUCUUUUUAUAGGAUGGUCACACCAACUGCCCCUCUUCUCCUAUUCAAAUUACAAUUACAAUUACAAUCCAAAUUCAUAUUCAAAUCCAAAUUACAAUUAGAAUUUGAAUCCGAGUUCUAACUUUUCAUGCCUUAAGCCCAUUCCUCAUACAUCUAAAACUCUCAUGUUACUGCCACAUGUCCAAGCUCAACAAAAUCCCCCAUGUUUUUAAGGGCUUAGUUGUUCCAUGUCCUUAUUUAGUCUAGAGGAAGGCUCAACCAUACCCAAGCACCAAGGUUGGGUACAUGUCUUCUUGGGGCUUAUCCUAAUCCCAAGAGGUCACUCUUGUGUUUUGCCUUAUAUCAACCCACUCAUAUGCCUUGAGUCAACUCACUCAUGUGCAUAAAUCAGCUUAUGCAUCCGAUCAGCAUGUUAUAUGCGUCUCUAAGUAGCUUGUUGCAUGUGUCUCUAGGUAACCUGUUGCAUGCACCUCUAGGCAACCAAUUGCACACGCUUCUAGGUAGCAUGCUGCAUACGUCUCUUAAGUAACCUACUACAUGUAUCUCUAAGCAGCCUACUGCAUGCGUCUCUAAGCAGCCUACUGCAUGUGUCUAUAGGUAGUCCUUGUGUGUGCCAAGUCCUCUCUUGGCCUGCAUAUCUAGCAACAUGCCUUGGUGUCAAUCCGUCUCUUAGCUCAUGGCCCAUGCUAUUCCUUAAGUGUGCCAUGCUUAUAUGCAUUCCCACAUCUAGAUCAAGUCCAGGUCGAGGCAUCUAACACAUUUUUUUCUAUGCCCACACCCUUUGUCAUUAUGCCCACAAUUUGCACUAUACAUCAUGACUUAAAUGCCCAUAAGUGUUUGCUUGGCAAGGGUUACCAUCACCCUUUGCCUUCUUUUGAAGCCCUCAUGUGUGCCCUUGGUCAGGCAUGGGUCCUACCACUUGCUGUCCAUGCAUGCUAGAAAUGUGAGCCAUGUACUACUUAUGCCACCUACUUUCCAUGUGUGAUGGCAACGUGGGCUAUGUGCUACUCAUACAUGCUAGUAGCAUGCACUCAUCUCGAAGCCACCGAAAAGCUUUACAAAAGUCCUUGUUAGCCCAAGGGUUCUUCUAAUUAGGUUUUAAUGAUAACAAAUCAUGAUUAAGUUACUAAUUUGUUUAAAUUGUAAAGAAUCUCAGGUAUUAAUUUGUAAAUUCAUCGAAGAACCUAAUGGAUAUAAGAUCAAGACGUUUGGAAGACCUUUAAUCAUAAGAAACAAAUGUAAGAUAAAUGCAUGAGUACACUUAGGUUUUACAUAUCGUUUCAUGCAUCUUUGGAAAACUCAAUUUACUCUUUAAAGUUAUAGUUUCAUUAAAACCCAAGUUUUAUCAAAUGUAUAUUAGGCAAAACGUUUCAAAAAUGACAUAUUAAUUUACCUAAAAACCUUGUCUAACUGUUAGAAGAGAAAAUAACAAAAAAAGAUAGGUUUUCGGGACCAAAAUGUUGAACCGGUUGAGGCAAGCACUCUCUCUCUUCCAGUAGUCCUUCAUUCCCGAUCGAGGUAUCCUCCGGUCGAUGUCCGAUCGAAGUUCGAUCAAAGCAACGGUAACCUGCCAAAGCAUUAAAUACUCAAACGGCUAGUGAUCCGAUCAAGCCCCAACUCUACCGGUUGAGGCUGCUUUUUGUUUUUCUUGGCUCUCGAGUUAGAAACCUAUAAAUAGAAAGUUUCACUUCAUUUAUGAGAUAUAGAACACCUACAUUUAUUUGUCUACCCACUUGUUCUUGCCUUAAAAGUUCUCAUUUCUUUCUUGAUGUAUUAAAUUUUCACUUGCAUAUCCUUUAGUGUACCUUUGUGAUUCAUCCUAGCUUUGAUUUGUAUUUGAGCUAUUAUUGAAUUAGGUUGAGAGAAGUUCAUUCUUGUAAAUUGAGUGUUAAAGCCUUCAAGUGAGUUGAAUCUUGAAGAGAUUGUGUAAGAGUUCAUUGGAGCCGGAAUCCAAGUGUAAAGGAUAUUAGAAGCUUGGUUGAAGCUUCAAGUUAGUGGAACCCUCACUCGAUUAGGAGCUUGAGGAGAGUGGACGUAGGCAAGGAAGUGUCGAACCAUUAUAAAAUCUGAGUUUAAUUUCUUUAACUCUAUCUCUUUAUAUUUGCUUCUAUUGUGCUUGAAUUUGUUGUGUUCAAAAAUAAUUUUUAAAAACUCAAUUCACCCCUCAUCUUGGGUGUUUUUCUCAUUUAAGUUUAGCCUUUAUUUUUUUUAGUCCUUAUUUGCUUGUUCACCUUCUCUUAGUCAUAGGCCACUCAUGAAGUCAAGGUGUCACCCCAUGAGGCCUUAGUGUCACGUGCUUAAGGUAAAGCGGUAACACAUGGCUCUUUAAAAGGCUAAACGGUCAACUGCCCUAUUUGCUAGAACACACUAGGCAUAUUCCAAGGCACAUAAAUCAUGAGUUAACUAUCAUCUAAGGAUGAUGUAAAUGUAUGUGCCUGUGUGUAAACUUAAUAAUUUUUUUUUUCUCAAAUUCUCUAUUUUUUCUCACAUACAUUUUUAAGCAAACGUUUGAAAACAUUAAAAUGAAAAUUUUUUUUUCUAAUUUUCAUCAAAACAAUAUAAAAUAGAAGAUAAAAAAAAAAAACUAUUUUCAAAUAGAAGGUCGAGAAUCCAAAAUAAAUAAUGUAUUUCAAAAAAAAAAUCAUCUAAAUUAGGUAUUAUGAAGCAAUAGUGUCAUGGAAAUCAAAGAUGAGAUCAAAAAGUUGCAUGUAAUGUGCAAAGGGAUUAUUGGACUUGAGGAGUUGAAGAAGGUUUUGAAACAUAUCUACCUCGUAGGCAAUCCUAAGGGCUUCAUCAUAAGAGUACCCACACUCUUCACUAAAUAUUUGAAGCAAGUUCUCGAAUAGAGGAUGAUUUAGGUCAUUGGCAUCCAUGUUGAAUUUGCAAAGGAUUUUCUUUCCCACGUAAACUCAAAUAUAACGUUCUAAGACCCCAUCUAAUUCCGAGGCAACUUUAAUUUCUCAACACAACAACUUUUUCACUAUUGGAUCAUAUAUUUUCUCCUGAUCAAUCAUCCUCAACCAUUUUUUUCCUAAAUCUUAUCAUUUUCUUUACUGCUUUGAUGUCAUGCUUCUUUCCUUUCACUAUCGUGGUUCAAAUGAAAAGCAACCCCAAAAGUCCAUACUUAUAUAGGCAAUAGAAGACGUUAAAAUUAAAAUUAAACUAUGGAUGAUUGCAUUGACUAAUCGAUUAGGCCAAAAAUAUAAAAAACAGUUGGAGGUGGAAGAAGUUGCUAGUUGCAUGGUUGGCUUGGCUUGGCUUGGCUAUUAAAGCCAUUAUGCUAAGUGUUAAUGAUGAGAAUUUGGAAGCUUAACUUUUUCCCAACUUUAAGUCAAUUUUGCAAUUGUAGCCCACAUGAAUGGAUAUGGCAUAUGGCAAGUGAGAUGGUUAGUGGCGGAACUAGGAAUGUGGUCUAGGAGGAGACAAUAAAUGGAGAUAUAUUGAUAUCUAGUGUAAUGGUAAACAUACUUGUCUCUUGUUCAUGAGGUCAAGGGAUCAAAGCCACCACUUUGAUUUUCUUUUUUAAGGCCUUUGCUAGCUUUACUUAUUUUAUUUUUCAGGUGGGCACAUGCGUCUUAGAUUUUAUAUUUUUAUAUUAAUUGAUUAAAAGGGAUGAAAAAAAUCUCAAAUUUGUAAAAGUAACAUCUCCCAUUUUUUAACUAUAUUAAAAUUGAUCCAACAUGAACACUAAUGAUUCUUGAUUAUAAGAGAUUUAAUAAUAAGUGUGGAAUCCCAAGCUGAUGAGCAAGAUGCUUCCAAUAAAAGUCAAGACUAAAGCCAACUAAUAAGCAUGCACAAGGAGGAAGAGUAUGUUGAAAACCACAACAAAGAAUAAUAAUAGGGAGAAAAUAAUAAUAAAAUAAAAAAAUGAAAACAAAACACAAAACAUUUUAUAUGGUUUGACCUCAGGCCUACAUCUAUAGGCGAAGACAAAGAAGAACUUCCACUAUUGUUGAAGAAAAUUAUAACCUUUUUAGCUCUUAAAUCCCAAAGUCCCAAUUUAUACCCAAAAAAGAGACUCACUAUUUUGGUCAAAAUCUCUUCCUAUAUUUUUUCGUAAUUACAAAGGAAGAUUCUAUAUAGGAAACUAAGUGUAUAAUUGUCAAAUAUGUUUUUUCCUAAAAGAAGAUAUGAUAAUAUGAUAUUUCCUUUAUAUUAAUAGGAAACCUACUUACAAAAACAUCUUCUAUUAGGAAACUAUCAAUAACUUUCCAAUUGACUCAAAAAUAGAAUUUGAGACACUUUCCAACUAUCUCCACUAUGAAACCAAGGUUUGGUUAAUCUUGAUUUUGAUGAUAACAAAACAAGGUUUAGAACUAAUGAUCAUAUUUUAAGUGUGAUUAGGCAAGAUGACUUCCAAAGUGGUAAUCCAAAGACAAAUCAAGCCAAGGAGAAAUCAUGAAGAAGAAGACCACCUCAAAGAGAAGAGUUUUUCAAGACCAAAGCUUCUUAAGGUCUCUUUGUAAGGUUGUUGGUGCACUAGGACUUUCAUGUGUUUCAUUAUUUAUUUAUGCACCAAAAUCAUCCAAGAGUAAUAUUGUUUUAAAUAUCUUAAGAAUUGGAUGAUUUCAUGUUUUCAACUAAAACCUUGUGUUAAAUGAUUUUCAAACUUGUGUUAAAAGGUUUUAAGUUGAAAAAGGUUGAGUGUUGAGCAAAAAAAAUGGCUCAACCAGUUCAACCAGUCGACCGGUUGUGCUCGUCCGGUCAAGGACCGGUUGAGGGAGGCCAAAAAGUUUCUCUCUCUCCCAGUGGCCUUCUCUUCCUGGUCAAGGUUGAACCUCAACCGGUUGAGGUCCAGUCGAGGUCCGGUUGAGGCCCAACGAUCACUUUUCCUAACAACUAGUCAACCAGUCGACCCCUAGCUCGACCGGUCGAAUCUCCAACGGCUAGUUUGGUUUUUUUCUUCUAUAAAAAGGCUCUAAUCUUCAUUGUUUCAUAAGCUUAACCUUCCCAAAUCAUUCUUGAUUAUAUUUGAGCCUUGGAAGAGUGUUUUUUAGUGCACCAUUGUUUCAUAACUCGCAUAUCUUUAGUGCAUCAUUCAAUCCUAGUUUUUCUUGUAUCUUUGAGCCUAAAGUUCUAUUACUAGGAUUUUUGUGAGAUCAUUAUUUGUAUAUCUUUGUGAGGGAUUUUCUCAAGUGAGGGGUAUCACUUGAGAGGUUGUUCAAGAGAGGGAUAUCUCUUGAAGAAGUGUAAAGGGUGCUUGGAGCCAAAAGUCCAAAAGGGUGAAUUGGAACCAUAAUCCAAUUGUAAAGAGAUUGGAAGCUUGGUUGAAGCUUCAAAAUAGUGGAACCCUCACUCGGUUAGGAGGUUGAGGAGAGUGGACGUAGGCAAGGAAGUGCCGAACCACUAUAAACUCUCGUGUUUGCACUCUCUCUUCCCUAAUUCUUUUAAAUUAUAUGCAAUUGUGUUUAUUUUGUUUAUUAUAUAUUUGCAUAUAAUUGUCUCUUAUUUUUACAUAGUUUAAAUUUGUGAAAAAGAGACCAUCACCUUAUUUACCCCCUUCCCCCCCCCCCCUACCAUAGUUUGGAUUAGCCUCAAAUUCCUAACAAUAAUGAUAUCAAAAUGCAUUUUAUUAGGGAUGUGAUUGCAUAAGAUACUAUUGUAGUGAAAAAAAUCCAUACAGUGCACAAUCCUACAAAUAUGAUAACCAAGUCAUUUUCUACAGUUANNNNNNNNNNNNNNNNNNNNNNNNNNNNNNNNNNNNNNNNNNNNNNNNNNNNNNNNNNNNNNNNNNNNNNNNNNNNNNNNNNNNNNNNNNNNNNNNNNNNAUUGUGUUUAUUUUUUUUAUUAUAUAUUUGCAUAUAAUUGUUUUUUAUUUUUACAUAGUUAAAAUUUGGGAAAAAGAGACCAUCCCUUUUUUUACCCCCUUCCCCCCCCCCCCCCUCCCCCUCUCUCUAGGGUGAUUACCAUAAGUUGGAUUAGCCUCAAAUUCCUAACAUCCACCUUGGCUCAAAUUCCAAAUAUUCAAACAAACUUGAAAGUCUUAAGUCUUCCAUGUUACUUCACUCUCACACCCCAAAGAGGCCUUCAGAUACUAUUCACACCAAUUAAAUCCAAGCAAUGCGUGAACUUAACUGUAGAAAAUGACUUAGUUAUCAUAUUUGUAGGAUUGUCCACUGUAGGGAUUUUUUUCACUACAAUAGUACCUUAUGCAAUCACAUCCCUAAUAAAAUGCAUUUUGAUAUCAUUAUUGUUAGGAAUUUGAGGCUAAUCCAAACUAUGGUAAUCACCCUAAAGAUGAGGGUUAAUAGGGUGAUGGUCUAUUUUUCACAAAUUUAAACUAUGCAAAAAUAAGAGACAAUUAUAUGCAAAUAUAUAAUAAACAAAAUAAACACAAUUGCAUUUAAUUUAAAAGAGUUAGGGAAAAGAGAGUGCAAAUACGAGAGUUUAUAGUGGUUCGGCACUUCCUUACCUACGUCCACUCUCUUCAACCUCCUAACCGAGUGAGAGUUCCACUAUCUUGAAGCUUCAACCAAGCUUCCAAUCUCUUUACAAUUGGAUUAUGGUUCCAAUUCACCCUCUUGGACUUUUGGCUCCAAACACCCUUUACACUUCUCAAGAGUUAUCCCACUUUUGAACAACCUCUCAAGUGAUACCCCUCACUUGAAAAAAUUCCUCUCAAAUAUAUACAAAGAUUGAUCUCACAAAAAUCCUAAUAAUAGAACUUUAGGCUCAAAGAUACAAGAAAAACUAGGAUUGAAUGGUGCACUAAAGAUAUACAAGUUAUGAAACAAUGGUGCACUAAAAAACACUCUUCUAAGGCUCAAAUAUAUUCAAGAAUGAUUUGGGAAGGUUAAGCUCAAGAAACAAUGAAGAUUGAAGCCUUUUUAUAGAAGAAAAAAGUCAUACUAGCCAUUAGGGGUUCGACCGAUCGAGCUAGGGGUUGACCGGUUGACUAGCCGUUAGGAAAAGUGACCGUUGGGCCUCAAUCGGACCUCGACCGGACCUCAACCUGUUGAGGUUCAACCUUGACUGGGAAGAGAAAGCCAUUGGGAGAGAAAGAAACUUUUUUGCCUCUCUCAACCGGUCAACCGGUUGAGCCAUUUUUUUUUGCUCAACACUCAACCUUUUUCAACUUAAAACCUUUUAACACAAGUUUGAAAAUCAUUUAACACAAGGUUUUAGUUGAAAACAUGAAAUCAUCCAAUUCUUAAGAUAUUUAAAACAAUAUUACUCUUGGAUGAUUUUGAUGCAUAAAUAAAGAAUGAAAUGCAUGAAAGUCCUAGUGCACCAACAACCUUACAAAGAGAUCUUAAGAAGCUUUGGUCUUGAAAAACUCUUCUCUUUGAGGUGGUCUUCUUCUUCAUGAUUUCUCCUUGGCUUGAUUUGUCUUUGGAUUGCCACUUUGGAAGUCGUCUUGCCUAAUCACACUUGAAAUAUGAUCAUUAGUUCUAAACCUUGUUUUGUUAUCAUCAAAAUCAAGAUUAACCAAAUCUUGGUUUCACAAUUAUGUUUGGUCCUCUCAUAAAACAUCUGAUUUUUAGUCAAAUGUAUGACACUUUAGCUAUCACAAUACAUAAUAGUCAACUUUUUUUGUAAACCUAAAUCACCAACCAAACCUUUAAGCCAAAUAGUUUCUUUCACUGCUUUUGUGGCCGCCAUGUAUUUUGCUUUAAUAGUUGACAAAGCAACUAUAGAUUGUAAAGUUAUUUUCCAAGUAAUAACAUUACCACAUAAAGUGAAUACAUACCUUAUUAGGGAUUUUCUUCUAUCCAAAUCUCCAACAUAAUUAGAAUCAACAUAACCAACAAUUUCCAUAGAGAGGUCACUACUUUUAUCAUCUACUAAGUCAACAUGUGAUGUUUCUUUCAAGUAUUGAAGUGUCUAUUUCACAGCUUGCCAAUGGAUCUUCCCAGGACGAUCCAUAUAUCUACUCACAUCACUAACUGCAUGUGAAAUGUCUAGCCUAGUGCAAACUAUGACAUACAUAAUGUUCUCUCUCCCAAUUGCACUAACAUAAGGAACAUGUGACAUGUGCUCCCUCUCUUCUUCAAUUUGAGGUGACAAAGCACUUAAAAUAUUAAAAUGAGUUGCUAAUGGAGUACUCACUGGUUUUGACCCUUAUAUUCCAAAGUGUUCCAACACUUUCUUAAUGUACUUUUUUGUGAUAAGUACAAUUUUCAUGCUUCUCAGUCUCUAUAAAUCUCUAUACCUAUUUUUUUUUUUUCGCAGCUCCAAGAUCUUUCAUUUCAAACUCUCAUUGAAGUUAAGUUUCCAACUUGUUUGAUCUUGGACAUAUUAUUGCAGACAAUUAACAUGUCAUCAACAUAAAAUAAUAAAUAAAUGAAAGAACCAUCAAAUAAUUCCUUGUGAUAAACAUAAUUAUCAUACUCACUCCUAUGGUAGCCAUUACCAAUCAUAAAAGUAUCAAACCUUGUAUAUCAUUGUCUAGGAGAUUGCUUCAAACCAUAAAGAGAUUUCUUCAACAAAUAAACAUGUUCUUCCUUUCUCGAAAUAAUGAAUCCCUCAUGUUGAUGCAUAAAAAUAUGUUCUUCUUACUCACCAUGUAGAAAAACAAUAUUGACAUCAAGUUACUUUAACUCUAAAUCAAAUAAAGCAAUCUUAGCAAGUAAUACCCUAAUUGAGCUAUGCCUCACAAAUGGAGAAAACACUUCAUUAAAGUCCACAUUAUCUUUUUGUGUGUAACCUUUUGCCACCAAGUAUGCUUUGAACCUAGCAUCCUCCACUCUUGGAAUUCCUUUCUUUCUUUUGAAGACCCAUUUGCAACCAACAAUCUUUUGAUUUUUAAGUUUCUCAACUAGUUGCCAAGUAUGGUUCUUUUGAAGAGAUUCAAUCUUCUCAUUCAUAGCAACAAUCCACUGUGUAGACUUUUUACUAGUGAUGGCUUCAUGAUGAGUGUAAGGUUCCUCCUUUUCAACGCUCUCUACCACACUAAAUACAUGAGGUUUCAUUGAUAGCAGAAGAGCCUUACUCUAUAGGGGCACGCGUUAAAAUUAAAAAGAGUAUUGAAAUUUAUUGGAAAUUAGUAACAUUUCUAUAAUAAAGAAUAUGUAUCACAUAUACAAUAGGAUAAUUAUCAAAUGGAUGUCACGUUGAACUCUCAAUUUUUAACCCUUGAAGUGUAAUAAAAACUAAAUCAUUGAACACUGUUAAAAUAAAACUAAGGUACAAACAAAUAAAAUUUAAGUCUAAUUACGAACAAAUGAGAUAAUUUUUCUUAACUAUGUAAUGUGAUGUUGAAAAAUUAGUAUUUCUAUAUAGAACGUGAAAAUGGGGAAGAUGGAGGGAAGAAUCGCAUUUGUCGCAUUUAUCUAGUUUUGUAAUUUAUGUUUUAAUUUUCUCCAACUUUUUUCUUCUAGGUUUUGUUUUAGAGUGCUUGACAAGAGAGAAAGUAAGGGAAGAGUUUUGUAGUAAAAGGAAGAAUGUUAGAGCUUUAGGCUUUGUUUGGCAACUAUUUUUAAAAAUAAUUUUGUGUUUUCUAUAACAACAAAUAUAGGAAAAUAAGUUUGGCAACCAAAAAACAAAAAACAAUUUCCUAUUCUUAGAAACAGGAAACAACAUAUUUUUAAAGAACACCAUUUAGUUGUUUUCAAUUGGUUUAUUUAUUUAUUUUUUAUUUUUUUACAAUUGUUUAAAAAAAAACCUAUACAAAUAUAGAUAAUGAUUAAAAAUAAAGCAUUACAACUAAAAUUUAUUUUCAAAACAUAUUUAAAAACAUAGAAAAUAGAUUAAAAACAUUUCAAGUUCCCAAAUACUCUUGUUUUACAAAAUGUCAGAGAACUAUUUCCAAAAUUGUUUUUACAAAACUGCUUUUGAAAAUAUUUUCCAAAUUAAGCGUUAGAGUUGCAAGAAUGGAGGGGCUUCUAUGUAACCUACUUAGCUUAGCCAUUAAUCGCACUUGCCUUGCUUGGUCACCUAGUCUAGGCUUUUAGCUAGGAAACUUGAUUUUGGGCCCAAAGUAACAUAUAUUAACAAAUAAAUUUUUAUAAGUUUUACAUGUUAGGACUAGGAGGCAAACAGUGUUGGCUAGUGUCUCAAAUUCCUAAUUGGGAUAUACUUUUUCUUGUAAAAGGAAUAUUGUAUAGCAUAUUCCUAAGUUUAUAUGUGAUUGUAAUUAGAUUCCUUAUAAAAUAAGGAAAACUAUUGGAAUAUCUUUAUAACUAGGUCAUAAUGGAAAAAAAAUUGUGGGAAAGAAAAUGAGUUUGUGAGGACCAUACAUGGUGGAUAGAGAUACGAGGAAGAGUGAAAGACACCCGGUGGAGUAAAAGGGCUCACUAAGGUAUAAAUAUGAGGAAAAGUGAGAGACAUCUGAUGGAGCAAAAUGGUUUAUAGUUCAUGGUGGAGAUACAAAGAGUAGGGAAAGUUAUGAUAUUUUAAGAUGCAAUAGUUGAGUAUAGUUAUGUCCUUUGUAAUAUUCUCUAUCUUAUAAUGAAAUAUUUUCUUUUAUCCGUAGAGGUAUGCAUGAUUGGUCGAGCCACGUUAAAACCUUAUAUACCUUUUUGUGUGAUUGCUUUAUUUUGUGUUUUUCUAUUAAUAUGUUUAAAUUGACAUUUCCUCUAGCACAAGUGGUAUCAAAGUCUUGGUUGAAGGUGUUUGGAAAAGUCUUGAUUGAAGAUGUCUGAAAGAGUUUUAGAAGAGCAAAGAAGAAUCAAACACAAAAGAGAAUUAUAAAAACUGAUUUUUUUUUAGUUAAACUUAGUCGAGCCUAUUACUAACCUUUUCGGUUGGAAAUGAGCCGCUCGCCUCUUGUGAAACCUUUGCCCAGGAGUUAACGAGAAUACGGCCGAAGAAAGGCAAGCGGAAGUUACAUAGUUAAUCUACGAAGUCUUCCCCAAUAUAAUAUGUGAAUUUUUAAAAGAUAAAGAAGCGUCAAGUACCCCGCUUUCUCGCAGAUUUUAAUGGAAUUCCCAAAAGACAGGUAAGCAGGCAGGGAACUCUUUCUGCAGCCAAGCCAGCUAUUUCUGGUAUACGCUUUUUGUUGAUCUUUAGGGAAAAAAGAAGAAUCACAAUAUCCUAUUUUUUCCUUAGGAACGUCGGGAAACACACCUUUAAAAAGUGAUACCUCAAUGCCUGUCCCUCUCUACAGUAUGAGAACACUCGAAACAUAAAUCAAAACACAAAGAGUAGAGACUUAGACCACCUCAACAGAGUUAGAGAGGGGGGAUCAAACUAUAACCAUCACAGUAGAUCCAAGGUAAGGCAGAAGAUGUGGGGUUUAUCAUUAAAAUAUAAUAAAGACGGAAGCUGGAAGCUGCAAGCAGGAAGCCGGAACGGCAGGACGAACCAACUGGAAAAACUAACAAAAAACAUGAAAAGUCUAAUUGCGCAAAUCAAACAUCUUAUUGUGUCUUAUAAGAAAAGAGAGGGUUCUAACAAUCAAGUUAAUGCUAGUAGUAGUAGUAGUAGUAGACGUAUCAUCAGAGCGCCAGUUUUACCGAUUAUUCGAAAACCAUGGAGAAAAGGCAAUAUACAAGGGGUGAUAAGCAGUAGUAAUAAUUUUUUAGGGUAUAAAGUUUCGCGGUUCGCUAAUAAGGUAUCUUAUCCCACGGUACUUCUAAAUAGAGUUCCUUCGAUUCGAAGAAUAGAUCUUGUCGGAAAAGGUAAAGAUAAAUUCAUGGGGUCACCGGAGAGACGCAUAGGUUUGGCUGAUAUUAUGAGAAGAACAUCAUGGGUUAAGUCACGCUAUAGUAAUCAACUUAUAUGGGAUAUCAUGUAUUAUAAAACCUUAAUGU